CAGGGAGACAACAAAAUGUUAAAUAUUAAUUUUGUCACUUAGGUCGAUCGGUACCUCACAUUCUUAAUUUUUAAGAAUUUUAUUUCCUAAGUUUUUUCUAGGUCACACCCAUUACUUUUCCUGGGCCAUUAGCUCAGGUGGUUAGAGCGCACCCCUGAUAAGGGUGAGGUCCCUGGUUCAAGUCCAGGAUGGCCCAUAUCUCUAUGUUGGGGGUAUAGCUCAGUUGGUAGAGCGCCUGCUUUGCAAGCAGGAUGUCAGCGGUUCGAGUCCGCUUACCUCCACUGAUUACCACCUCUUCCAUAUUCUGUAGAAGGGAAAUGUUUUGAGUUGUGAUCAAAUUCUGAACGAUUCUAGCUUCCUAAUUUAACUCAUUAAGAUGCUGGAUUCAUUGAAUUAAAUUCAUUGUUUUCAGAGAACCUUGACAACUGCAUAGAUUAUUUUUAAAGACAAUAAGCAUCUUUAAUGAUGCAGAUUUAUUAUUUGUGCUAAAGCAUUAAUAACAAUUCUAUUAAGCUGAUGCUUCAA
rnacentral:tRNA from 1 species